UACGUAGGGGGCUAGCGUUGUCCGGAAUCAUUGGGCGUAAAGAGCGUGUAGGCGGCCCGGUAAGUCCGCUGUGAAAGUCGGGGGCUCAACCCUCGAAUGCCGGUGGAUACUGUCGGGCUAGAGUGCGGAAGAGGCGAGUGGAAUUCCUGGUGUAGCGGUGAAAUGCGCAGAUAUCAGGAGGAACACCAAUUGCGAAGGCAGCUCGCUGGGACGUAACUGACGCUGGAGACGCGAAAGCGUGGGGAGCAAACGGG
rnacentral:rRNA from 1 species